rnacentral:rRNA from 1 species
CGAACGGGGUUAUGAAGUGUGAGGAGUCAGCUUGCUGGUGACGAACCGUUCAUAACUUAGUGGCGGACGGGUGAGUAACGCGUGGGUAACCUGCCAUAUACAGGGGGAUAACACUUAGAAAUAGGUGCUAAUACCGCAUAAGCGCACGGAGCUGCAUGGCUCAGUGUGAAAAACUCCGGUGGUAUAUGAUGGACCCGCGUCUGAUUAGCUUGUUGGCGGGGUAACGGCCCACCAAGGCGACGAUCAGUAGCCGGCCUGAGAGGGUGGACGGCCACAUUGGGACUGAGACACGGCCCAAACUCCUACGGGAGGCAGCAGUGGGGAAUAUUGGACAAUGGGGGGAACCCUGAUCCAGCGACGCCGCGUGAGUGAAGAAGUAUUUCGGUAUGUAAAGCUCUAUCAGCAGGGAAGAAAGAAAUGACGGUACCUGACCAAGAAGCCCCGGCUAACUACGUGCCAGCAGCCGCGGUAGUACGUAGGGGGCAAGCGUUAUCCGGAUUUACUGGGUGUAAAGGGAGCGUAGACGGUAAUGCAAGUCUGGAGUGAAAUGCAGGGGCUCAACCCCUGAACUGCUUUGGAAACUGUAUGACUGGAGUGCAGGAGAGGUAAGUGGAAUUCCUAGUGUAGCGGUGAAAUGCGUAGAUAUUAGGAGGAACACCAGUGGCGAAGGCGGCUUACUGGACUGUAACUGACGUUGAGGCUCGAAAGCGUGGGGAGCAAACAGGAUUAGAUACCCUGGUAGUCCACGCCGUAAAACGAUGAUCACUA